rnacentral:rRNA from 1 species
UGGGGAAUAUUGCACAAUGGGCGCAAGCCUGAUGCAGCCAUGCCGCGUGUGUGAAGAAGGCCUUCGGGUUGUAAAGCACUUUCAGCGAGGAGGAAGGGUUCAGUGUUAAUAGCACUGUUCAUUGACGUUACUCGCAGAAGAAGCACCGGCUAACUCCGUGCCAGCAGCCGCGGUAAUACGGAGGGUGCAAGCGUUAAUCGGAAUUACUGGGCGUAAAGCGCACGCAGGCGGUUUGUUAAGUCAGAUGUGAAAUCCCCGCGCUUAACGUGGGAACUGCAUUUGAAACUGGCAAGCUAGAGUCUUGUAGAGGGGGGUAGAAUUCCAGGUGUAGCGGUGAAAUGCGUAGAGAUCUGGAGGAAUACCGGUGGCGAAGGCGGCCCCCUGGACAAAGACUGACGCUCAGGUGCGAAAGCGUGGGGA